rnacentral:tRNA from 1 species
GCUAAUGUAGCACAGUGGUAGUGCACUCGCUUGGUAAGCGAGAGGUCACGGGUCCGAUCCCCGUCAUUAGCUCCA